AAGCUGAGACCUUGCACUGAUUGCAUAAAUAGAAAAUGAAAUUACUUAUUUUUUGCAGUUUUCGAGAUAGUAUGUAUUACUAUAAUAUUAUAACAGGACUAUGUUAAAUUCAAGUAACAAGGCUUUGAUUUAUAUAAAUACAUACAAGUACUUGUAUAUGUACAUAUCAAUGUAUGUAUAUGUGAAUAAUACUUUAAGCGAUUAAACUUUAAACCACCAGCACCCGGAUUAGUUCGAUCUCAGUUCGGUUUUGGAUUAAAAUUGACAGAAGACCGGUUUGGUUCGUCGAAAAAAAUUGCUGUUGGGUUCUUCUUUCAUAUUGUAUUUGCUGUAGCAGCAUCCUGGUCGGUUUCGGUUUCGGUUUAGGUCUAUUAGGAACGAUCUACCCCUCUGAAAAUAGGACACUGCAUGUUCUUAAGACAUUCUUUCUCAUCCUGAUCUGUCUGUCAGCCAUUUCGUAAAUUUCAUUGUAUAUCGUUUUUAGUGACUUUCGUAUUUCCCGUACUUGUUUGGUAGCCAAAUGGACGGCACUCUUGUUGUUCGGUUGUUUCGUUUCCCGGAAUUCCUUUGUGGUCUGAAGCCCAGCAUAUAUGCAGCCGCUUUCCGGCAGCCACUACAUCUACUGCCUCAUUGCUUCUGAGGACAUUAUCUGUUGUAAUGCGAAGUGAGAUUAUUGCCUUAAUUGCCGCUUGCUGCUGCCGAAAAGAAGGAAGUAGCCAAAAAGGAAGAGUCGGAGUCAGAUGAAGACGACGAUAUGAAUUUCGGUCUCUUCGACUAAUCACCUCAACAUUAAAGUUUCUUCACUUCCAAAAUGUUAACAAAAUAUAGAGCGCAUCGUGUGGCUGAACUGGAUGCGCUUCUAUUAUUCCAAGAUCAAUCAGAAUGGCAAAAAACAACCUUUUUACCGACUAAGUUUCUCCAGACACAUGUCGAUGAACGGUACGAUGGGAAGGAAUAGUCUUAAUAUUAUUCCGUAAUUCGAAAUUUUGGGCCGGUUUGAAAGUGACAUCUUCUAGACGACGGGGGCGAGCUUGCUUCAAUAUCAGCAAAGCGAAGAGCGUGUGAUGGGUUUGACGACUGGUGGUCUGGCCGUGUAUUGUUCAAAUUGAGUAUGUUGUUGGGAAGUAUACUGAAAUCUAUAUUCUCAUUACAGAAAGCUCAAUGAAAUGCGCGCAAAAUGUUCCCGUACAAUCUCUGUUCACAUCGGUUUAGAUAGGCUAUGCGGUAAGGACGAAAUUUGUUACAGAUAUAAUCGUAGUAGUAGUAGUAAAUCCUUUCAAAUCCACAGACGAUCGACUGGUUUACUAUUUUUAUAUUUUUCAUAUGUUAUUUAAUAAGAUUUUCUCAUUACUUUAGCGCUAUUUUAACAUUUUAUGUUCAUAAAAGCCCAAAAAGUUACACGUAAGCUUUUGGUAAUUAAAUUUACGUUAAGUGAUUCCAUAUUUAUUGUAGCUACUGUAUAUUUUAUGUUAGGUGUAUAUAGGUAUAUAUGUAUGUAUGUAAGUUUGUAUGCAUAUGUGCACAAAAUUUCUUGAGAUAAACUGUUUCAAUUAAAUUGAUUAACGCACAUUUGUGCUGCAGCGGUACUUUUCCAUCUGUUUCCAACCAUACUAAAUAGUUAUUGUUGGUCGGUCAGAUUAUGUAUUGCUAGGAAAUUGGUACACCAAUAUUGUGUUAAUAUUGUUGGUGUUGGAAUUAAAUUGCAUUGGUUUUGUUUACUUUAUUUUAUAAAAAAAUCAGCAAAAAAUAAGAUCAGACAUAUAGUAGAGAAUUAGAUUCAUUUGACAACAAGAUGCUGCGCCAUAAGUCUUGUGACUACUCAAUGUCUAGUGUACAAACUGAAUCUGUGCUGCUAGGCUUUAAUUGUAUGAACAGGAAUUUUCUGGUGGUGUCUGUUAUUACUUAAAUUAUUAUCCGUUAAUUGUUGGCUAAUUUGAGUAAGGAUGUUACGUCGUGUAUCAUUUACAUUUUCACCUGAUAUUAAUUUCUGGAUUAAUUAAUGCUGCUCAGAUGUAUUUCGUAUAUACCUAUUUAUACGUAUGUGAAAUCGCCAAAUUGUACAAAUAUAAAUGAACGCAAGCUGUAUCUGAAUUUUAUUUAUUCAUUGUUUCCAUCAAUUUUUGACAUAUUUUGUAUGAGUUCUUUUAUUGUAACUUAUAUGUAAUUAUUUAAUUGAAGAUAAAUUCUGUUCUUUUUCAUUUUGAAUAUUUAAAAUAUUUUAUAAUGUUUGGUAUUGUUAUAUUGUAUAUUUUUAUGUAUGUAAUUGUUUUUUGUGCUAUAAAAUGGUUCGAUUAAAUAUACGAUUACUUAUGAAGCGAUAAUGAAAGCUUAAGCAAAGUGGUAAAAUUAAAUUCUUCUCUAGAAAAUACAGUAAGCCAAUUACGUGCUAAAGCAUUAUCACACAUAAUAAGUACACGCUUAUCUGUUGCACAAUAUUAUUGAUUCAAUUCUACGAUGUAAUGAAUUUUUUUCCGGUCUCGAAAAUACGGUUUGUAACUGUUCAUAUCAACAUUAACCAAAAAGUACUAUACGAAUGCGACUAUUCGAAUAGUCCCUCUGCUGCGAGUAUUUUAAUAAAUGAAGAUUGUUUGAAAUCCAA